rnacentral:lncRNA from 12 species
AUGGGGACUGUUGAUUCUCCGUCACUGAAGCCAGUUUCUUAUUUGUGGGACAAGGAUGUCUUGCACAAAGCUCUCUCCUGUAAGCUAAUGGCAACUAAUACCUUUGUAUCUACAUCUAGUAGUCUUGAUAUCAUAGUUUUUCCUGUCUUAGAUGAGGGGCCUCCUGUAGUCCCCACAAUGGGAUCCAGUUCUUUCUGCACAUUCGUGGAGCGACUUGGAGAACAGAAAGCUGGUUUGCUGAAGGACCACUGGGUAGAGAGGUAAUUCACGGUUCUGAUUCCAUGUUGGUUGAUUCUCCAGUGGAUUUUUCUCCACCAAAUCGCUUCUGAGGCCCGUCUACCGAGGUGACGUCACACAAAGCAGGUAACCCGCGUGAAAUUUGACCAGUGCCCUGCCGACGGGCUGAUGCUAUAAUCUGGUGUAAAUCAACCUUGGAGGGGGAUGGGUUAGGGAGAGAACGUUCAAGACGUAAAUGGGGCAUCUGCUGGAAAUGUUCAUCAUGGUACAGAGGAGAAAGUUGAGAAAAACCAUGGGUUUUGAGAGGAAUAUAACGAGUAUCUUUCUACCUAACAAGAUCUAGGAGAUGGUGGGGAUAUUUGACAAGAUCCUGAGGAACAAGUCCCACAGAUUAGAGGGAUGUAUUGAAUGUGGGCUGGAGAUAAGGGCCAGUCAAUGUGGCACAGUUGGGCCAGUGAGCAAUGCUCGGCUUUUAGAAUACAUUAGAUGCUUUAAUCCGGUGUCCAGAAGAGAGCAGUGCACAUUCCUGCCCCAUAUGGAAGUUGGUAGAGACUCGAAGAAGCAAAGAAUGUUUGGAAUACCUAAAAUCUGCACUGUGUGACUUUUGUCAACAGAGAAGGAUGGGUGAUGUUGCAAAGAAUCUAUACAUGGUCAUUGGAAUUAUUCACUCAGUGUCUUACUCUUGUCGUUUUCUUUAUUUUUUCCUUUCUCUCUCUCUUUAAGACACUGCUGGGAAUUCCACGUAGAGAAGCUGUGACCUAUGUAAGAUAGUAGAUGUCACUCGCCUUGAAGGGGGACUCAUGAUCUUAAUAAAAAGACCUGUGUGUCUCUCUGCUUCGAGAUU